rnacentral:rRNA from 1 species
CUACGGGAUGCACCAGUGAGGAAUUUUGCGCAAUGGGGGAAACCCUGACGCAGCAACGCCGCGUGAGCGAAGAAGGCCCUCGGGUCGUAAAGCUCUGUCAAGUGGGAAAAAAAUUUUUUGAUCAAUAGUCAAAAGACUUGAUGGUACCACUGGAGGAAGCACCGGCGAACUCCGUGCCAGCAGCCGCGGUAAUACGGAGGGUGCGAGCGUUGUUCGGAUUUACUGGGCGUAAAGCGCGUGUAGGCGGUUUAGCAAGUCAGAUGUGAAAGCCCUGGGCUCAACCCGGGAAGUGCAUUUGAAACUGCUUAACUAGAGUAUGGGAGAGGAGAUUGGAAUUCCUGGUGUAGAGGUGAAAUUCGUAGAUAUCAGGAGGAACACCCGUGGCGAAGGCGAUUCUCUGGACCAAUACUGACGCUGAGACGCGAAAGCGUGGGGAGCAAACAGGAUUAGAUACCCCAGUAGUC